UACGGAAGGGGCGAGCGUUGUUCGGAAUCACUGGGCGUAAAGCGCGCGUAGGCGGCUUUGCAAGUGCGGCGUGAAAGUCCUGGGCUCAACCUGGGGACGGCGCUGCGGACUGCAUGGCUGGAGUCCGGAAGAGGGUGGUGGAAUUCCGAGUGUAGAGGUGAAAUGUGUAGAGAUCGGGAGGAACACCGGUGGCGAAGGCGGGUCUCUGGGCAAUUCCUGACGCUGAGGCGCGAAAGCGUGGGGAGCAAACGGG
rnacentral:rRNA from 1 species